GAACACCCAACUCCCUCUCCCCUCGGUGGGCGGAGCUGCCGUGUGUCCCACACACUACUACAGAGGUCGCAGAAGGAUAGUGCCUGGGCACCCACCAGGGCAGCCUGAAGAAGCAAGACAUGCAUCAGGCCGGAGGCGAGGAGGAUCAGAUAUAUCCACAAGAGAAGAAAUUUUAAAUACAUAAAACAAAGAGUUCAUUUCUACAGUAUAUAAAACAACUCCUGCCACACAGUAAGAGAAAGGCAACUCAAGAGAAUAACGGGCAAGACUCAAACAGGUACUGCUCCAGAGAGGACAUCUAAAUGACCAAUAAAUACAGUACUUGAGAAGUUGCCAGACCUCCCUCAUUAAGAAUCAUGGAAUUGCAAAUUGAAAUCCAUGAGUUACCGCUGCAUGCCCACAGAAUGCCUCACGUCGGAGAAUGACAGCAUCAAGUGUUGGUGAGGAUGUGGAGCAACAGGAACUCACACACACUGCUGUUGGGAGUGCAAGUUAGUCAAACUACUUUGAAAAGUUUGCAUUUCUACCCAAACUGAAUAUCUGUAUACUAUAUGGCCCAGCAGCUUCAGUCCUAGAAGUAUGCCAAACGGAGAUACUUGCACAAGUCACAAGACACACGUAUGAGGAUGUUACAUAAUGAUGCGCCAUAGCCCCAAGUUAGAAACACCCCAAGUGGCCAUCAAUGGGAGACCAGGUAAAGGAAUUGCCAUAUGUUCCCAGAGCAGAUACUAUACAAUGGUGGACAUUGGUAGCCUUCAGCUGCACACAUCAGCAUGGAUGAAUCUCACAAAUGUGAUGUUGAGCAGAAGCCAGAUGCAAGUGAGUACAUCUGUGUAAUUUCAUGUGAAAAAUGCAGGCAGCAUGCAACUGUGCUUAGCAAUGCAUGCUUAGGUGGCAAAACUAUAAAGGAAAGGAGGCAAUCACCUCAAGAGGCAGGACGUCAGUGACCUUUGUGGGAAGAUGGCUGUUGAUGGGAUGAGCUGAAGGGAAGUUCCGGGGAGUCAGGACUUGGGUGCUGGUCAUGUGGGGUUUGCUUUG